rnacentral:rRNA from 1 species
AACGAACGCUGGCGGCAGGCCUAACACAUGCAAGUCGAACGCACCUUCGGGUGAGUGGCAGACGGGUGAGGAACACGUGGGAACGUGCCUUUCGGUGGGGGAUAACUUCGGGAAACCGGAGCUAAUACCGCAUACGCCCUUCGGGGGAAAGAUUUAUCGCCGAAAGAUCGGCCCGCGUCUGAUUAGCUAGUUGGUGAGGUAACGGCUCACCAAGGCGACGAUCAGUAGCUGGUUUGAGAGGAUGAUCAGCCACACUGGGACUGAGACACGGCCCAGACUCCUACGGGAGGCAGCAGUGGGGAAUAUUGGACAAUGGGCGAAAGCCUGAUCCAGCCAUGCCGCGUGAGUGACGAAGGCCUUAGGGUUGUAAAACUCUUUCGCCGGCGAAGAUAAUGACGGUAGCCGGUAAAGAAGCCCCGGCUAACUCCG